ACAUGCGGCCAUACUAAAUGAUGAUGUACCGGAUCCCAUCUCGAACUCCGAAGUCAAGGCAUUUCAGGCAGGGCUAGUACUGACGAUAGAGAUGAGUCCGGAACCCCCUGUGCCGCAUGU
rnacentral:rRNA from 1 species